AUUGAACGCUGGCGGCAGGCCUAACACAUGCAAGUCGAGCGGAUGAAGGGAGCUUGCUCCUGGAUUCAGCGGCGGACGGGUGAGUAAUGCCUAGGAAUCUGCCUGGUAGUGGGGGAUAACGUCCGGAAACGGGCGCCAAUACCGCAUCCGUCCUGAGGGAGAAAGUGGGGGAUCUUCGGACCUCACGCUAUCAGAUGAGCCUAGGUCGGAUUAGCUAGUUGGUGGGGUAAAGGCCUACCAAGGCGACGAUCCGUAACUGGUCUGAGAGGAUGAUCAGUCACACUGGAACUGAGACACGGUCCAGACUCCUACGGGAGGCAGCAGUGGGGAAUAUUGGACAAUGGGCGAAAGCCUGAUCCAGCCAUGCCGCGUGUGUGAAGAAGGUCUUCGGAUUGUAAAACACUUUAAGUUGGGAGGAAGGGCAGUAAGUUAAUACCUUGCUGUUUUGACGUUACCAACAGAAUAAGCACCGGCUAACUUCGUG
rnacentral:rRNA from 1 species